ACUUCCUCGAGUAUGAAAGUCCACCCCCUGUUCGUCUCUAACAUCAAAAUCGACCCAAAAGCGGUUUGUGAGUGAUUUUGGUUCGCAAACGGUGCUUGAUCUCUGAAGAAAGCAAGAUUACAGAACGUAAAAAUGAAAUAUAUAUUUAAGAAGUCACGUUAUUGGAUGCAAUGAACACAUCUGUCCUGUUGCACGUGGUCACGGUCUUUCAGCAGCACCUCAGCAAACAAAUGGACGGUCAAGGACAUUGUGUCGGGCUGAAUGGAUUUCCUCUGUGAUAAAGGGCUGAAUCUGCUUUGUCUGUGAUGGAGAUCAGGGGGUCAAAGCCGUACAGGAGUGACCUCAUCCAACAGCUCCUGAACCAAUCCACAGGCGGCGGGGAAGAGAACCGCAGGGCCCGCAGAACACCGGACCUCCAGACCGAUGCAGCGGGCCGGAAAAAGAUGGCUUCUUUAAGCGCCAGUGCGUUUUGAAUAAAUAAACAGACGAUAACGAUGCGCAUGUCGUCGACGCGCCCUGAGUGAUGCAGCGCUACGGCUGAACCGAUCACGCAAACGCCCUCUGACAGUGACUUACAGCGUGAAGGGCGACGCCAGGAGUGGGCGGAGCCUCGGCGGGGCCCUCUGCCAGCGCAUAAUGCAUCCGCUCUCGGUGCUUUGUCAUCCGAAUUCUGUUCAAAACCAUGCACGAACUGAUUCAAUAACGGCGACAAUCAUUUUUAUGAUAUCACAACUGCUUUUUAUUUAUCAACGGCGAAGUCUAGCAUGACUACUGCUGUUAUGCUUACACUUUAGGCAGACUUUGACGUGUAACUGACACAUUGUACAUCUUUAAUAUAACUAUGAAUCAAGUCAUAUUUAUGUUACUUUUGUGUUAUUAUAUGGUAUUACGGUAUUGCAUUUGCUUUAUUGGUUUUAGUAAAGCACUUAUUACAAACUUAUUUACUUAUUUUCAAUUUCAAAAUUUCACUGUUAUCUAAUAACAACAGUUUUGUGGGAGUUAAUUUUUAGCUAUUUAAUAUUUUCAAUUGUCACUUCAAGU